rnacentral:misc_RNA from 1 species
GAUGAAGAACGUAGCGAAAUGCGAUAAGUAGUGUGAAUUGCAGAAUUCCGUGAAUCAUCGAAUCUUUGAACGCACAUUGCGCCUUCUGGUAUUCCGGAAGGCAUGCCUGUUCGAGAGUCAUUAACAACCGUUUCGAUCCCUUUCUUUCAGAAAUUACAAAGAGGAAAAGGGUUUGGUUAUGGUGGAGGAGGGAAAGGGAGCGUUUAGCCUGUAAAAAAAGAGGCUGUGUUCCGCCUCCCCCCCAAAAUUGUACAGGCGGUCGUGUGCGCCCACGCAUCGAGGUGUUGUAAAAGCUGCCACGGCACUUUUCACCUGUGCAGUGCGAGAUUGGCCAGCCGGUUUAAAAACCCCUCCAAACAAUCAAAGGUUGACCUCGGAUCAGGUAGGGAUAUCCGCUGAACUUAAGCAUAUCAAUAAGCGGAGGA